AUUGAACGCUGGCGGCAUGCUUUACACAUGCAAGUCGAACGGUAACAGGCCGCAAGGUGCUGACGAGUGGCGAACGGGUGAGUAAUGCAUCGGAACGUGCCCAGUCGUGGGGGAUAACGCAGCGAAAGCUGUGCUAAUACCGCAUACGAUCUAUGGAUGAAAGCGGGGGACCGUAAGGCCUCGCGCGAUUGGAGCGGCCGAUGUCAGAUUAGGUAGUUGGUGGGGUAAAGGCUCACCAAGCCAACGAUCUGUAGCUGGUCUGAGAGGACGACCAGCCACACUGGGACUGGGAGACGGCCCGAACUCCUACGGGAGGCAGCAGUGGGGAAUUUUGGACAAUGGGCGCAAGCCUGAUCCAGCAAUGCCGCGUGCAGGAAGAAGGCCUUCGGGUUGUAAACUGCUUUUGUACGGAACGAAAAGGUUUGGGUUAAUACCCUGGGCCGAUGACGGUACCGUAAGAAUAAGCACCGGCUAACUACGUGCCAGCCGCCGCCGUAA
rnacentral:rRNA from 1 species